GCUCCUAUAGUUCAACGGAUAGAACAAGCCCGUCCUAAGGGCAAAAUGGUGGUCCAAUUCCGCCUAGGAGCACAA
rnacentral:tRNA from 6 species